rnacentral:rRNA from 1 species
UACGGAGGGUGCAAGCGUUGUCCGGAAUCAUUGGGCGUAAAGCGCACGUAGGCGGCUCUUUAAGUCUCUUGGUGAAAGGCUGGGGCUCAACCCCAUGCAUGCCGGGGAUACUGGGGAGCUGGAGACAGGUAGAGGCCAGCGGAAUUCCGGGUGUAGCGGUGGAAUGCGUAGAUAUCGGGAGGAACACCUGCGGUGUAGACGGCUUACUGGACCAUAACUGACGCUGAGGCACGAAAGCGUGGGUAGCAAACAGG